CUCUUUUACAGCCACGGUCACAUUCAAGCAGAGGAAUACAAAGCUAAAUACUUAACUUAUUUCACUACGACAGAGGACAGCAAUGAAAAGCAACUGAUCUAUGAUUUACAUGGAAUUUUGCAAAGACUUCAGAACAAUCAAUUUCCAGCUCUAAGAAAAAAGCACGGCUACCUGCCUGUGGUAUGUAAUGCAACAACACAGUCCAUCUGGAAUGAUCUCAACUCCUGAAAUCAAUCUGGUCAAUAUGUUCAGUGCAAUACACUUAUUAUCUGUCCAUGGAUCAAUAUCUUACUUUAAUUUGGUGUCAUAUCUUGUCAGUGUGAUCCAGGAGACCAGUGUGCACUAAGAAAAGGCUCCAGGAUCGGGAAACUAUGUGACUGCUCUCUGCCGAGAACAUGCAACUCUUUUCUACACCGUUGUUUGUGAUUCUCUCUGUGUUACAAGUCUAACAAAACAAAAAAACAGUAAAAAUAACUUAUAAGCCUGUGAUCUAUCUGAUGGUAUUAUCUAUCUGAUUCCAUUUUUGUCUUUUUGUCCUCUUACUGGCCAAUUGUAAUAUUUAAUCACUUUCAAAUUCAGCAUUGAGUGCCAAUCUAUUAAAUGUGCUGUUGUGGGA